ACAUGACUCUCGGCAACGGAUAUCUCGGCUCUCGCAUCGAUGAAGAACGUAGCGAAAUGCGAUACCUGGUGUGAAUUGCAGAAUCCCGCGAACCAUCGAGUCUUUGAACGCAAGUUGCGCCCGAGGCCCUCGGGCCGAGGGCACGCCUGCCUGGGCGUCACGC
rnacentral:rRNA from 5 species